rnacentral:tRNA from 1 species
AGAGCUUUAGCUUAAUUAAAGUAUCUGUUUUGCAUGCAGAUGAUGUGGGUUAGUAUCCCGCAGGUUCUA